rnacentral:rRNA from 1 species
AAAUUUUCAUCUCUGGAAAUUGAGACCAUGACAUCACGCACAAUAUCAAGGACUCGACAACUCUUAACUAUUCCUUCUACGUUCACACUGGAAGGUUGAAUCAUGCUACGGUUGAUUAGCUCAUUAAAGUAACCAUCUCCCACAUCCUCAAUGUUCACCCCAGCCCUUGCUCUAACAAACCCCUCGGCUAUCCAUCUCUCCACCAAACGCCUCCUUUUGAUUUCAGAAUCCUCAGGAAAGAUGCUUAGAUACAAAAAGCAUGACUUGAGAUGA